rnacentral:tRNA from 1 species
GGUGGAGGUGGCCCGGUAGAAGGGUUCGGCGGCCGGCGCCCGCCAGUCGAUCACCAGCGGCUCGUACUCGGAGUCCCGGACCCCGAUCCGGCC